AUGUUUCAUAAGGAGACGUGUGUUUGAGGUUCUUUUUUACACACACAAUCGUUGCAAUUCAAACAGCUUCUUCAGUUUCCACCACCCGUCUAUGGAAGUUGCGGUGGCAGCCACAGGCGGCACAGGUAAGCGAAGCCUCCGUCCCCUCCUCCUCCUCGUUCGACGCCAUGAAUUCCCUGCACCCAUCAACCGCGUACCCACCAACGUUGGCUGCAUGGUUUCUUUGACACUCACCAUAUCUCACAUGAACCCUCAUCGUGUUCGAUGAAUUAGCAGAAUCCGUCGAUGGAGACGGUGGCGGUUCUUCUCUUAUCAACACUACUCGUCUUUUGGUCAUUUGCUUAGAACGAAAGAUGGUUUUAGCAAUUGAAGAACGAUGAUCAGAAUUCCAAUGUCGCACGAUGAAGAAGGUUGGUUUAUCAGGGUUAAUCUUGCCACUGAAAGUGUCGUUGAACUGUAUGGUAAGUUAUAAACUCCGUUCAUAACCCUAGUUUCGAUUUUUGGGAUAAUUAAAUUACGUUGAUCAUGAGUUUAUUAAUAACAUCACCUCCUGGACGCACAUAUGUAGGAGGUAAGAUCAGUUAUGUUGACUUGAUAGAUAUUGAUAAUUUUUCUAUACAUGAAGUCGAUCUUAUGUUGGAUCAGUUAGGGUAUAAUAGCUUGAACCCAAUGUAUUACCAGUUUUUAAAUCCUGAAAAACCCUAGACGAUGGUCUUGAACACCUAAGCAGUGAUCAAGACUGUCUGAACUUGGCUAGGUAUGUUGAAAUGCACAAGAUUAUCAAUGUAUAUACCAACAUGAAGGAACUGUUUAGCUCACCUAGUAAACCUAGCAUCACCAUUGAAGAGAUAGUUGAAAUUGGACCGUAUGCCAUAGUUCCUAUGAAGGAAAAUGCAAAUGUUGGACAUAAUAUUGGCCACGGGGAAUCCAGCAGGGAGGUGCCAGUUAAUGUGGUAGAUGAAAUGGAUGUUAGGCAAUAUGAUUCUGUAAAGAAAGCAUGGGUUGAGACUGAAGUGAAUGUUACUGAGGAUAGGGAUGUUAGUGAGGAUAGGAAUGAUGAUGGUAUUGAACAUAUGCAUGAUAAUGGUAGUGAGGAUAGGAGCGAUAAUGGUAGUGAAGAUAGGAGUGAUAAUGAUAGUGUGGGUGCUUUGGAGACAUGAUGUGGCUGCAAUUUGGUAGAAAGUUGCUAAUGGAGGCAGGGUGGGUGCUUUGGAGAGCUGGGUACAUCCGGUUUAUACGAUGGAAAGGUGGAAACAGGUGUACUCUUUUAGGGUGAACCUUAUCAAUGGUAGGACUUUAUGGACAAAGGUACAUGCUCCUACAACAAUUACACCCCCAAAAUACCACACCCAGGUUGGUAGACCAAAUAAGUUGAGGCAAAGAUCUGUAGUAGAGCUUGAAGAGAUGACCCAAUCAGGAAGGCUGUCCAAAAAACACACUAAAGGGGUAUGUUCAAAGUGUAAGAAGACAGGAUAUAAUUCCAGGACUUGCAAGGGUCAAGGUGAAGCUGUGAAGACUGGCAAAUCAGGGAAGAGUGGGAAGGCAGGGAAGAGUAGGAAGGCAGCAGCAAAGUGAACUUGUGUUUAUGUGCUUUUGAACUUGUUUUAUGGCUUUUGAACUUGUUUUAUGUCUUUUGGAACUUGUGGUUGCUACUUUUUAGAUGUUUGUGAACUUUUGGUAGUUACUUUAGGUGUUUGUGAACUGGUGGUUAUUUUGGGAACAUAAAUCAGGUUUGGUUAUAAUAUGGUAAGAAGUUAUGGUGUUUUGGUCAUUUUCUUUUGGACAUUUUGAUUGUCAUUUGCAUUACUAUAAAGUUUGGUCAUUUUGAAUGUCAAUUGCACUUCGUUUGGUCAUUACAGGUUAUGGUCAUUAUGGCCAUUUACAGUUUGUUUGGGUCAUCUUGUUUUGGUCAGUUUGUUUUGGUAAUUUUGUUUUGGUCAAUUACAAUGAAAACUGCAAACUGAACAUUCCACUUUGCCAUUCAUACACAUCACAAAUACUGCACAUAACAUAUAACUCACUAAAAAGCUAAAAAUACAUCACAAACUUAGAUCUUGUCAGUCAAAAUUAGAUCUUGUCAUUUUACACAUACUGCACAUCACAAAUAACACCCUAAAAUGCCAGAACAUACAUCACAAAACAGAUCCAACUACAAACCAAAUACUUUUUCAAUUUUCUUGACUUUGCUUCAGUAUCUUUCACUUUGGUCAAAAGCAACCAGUUUGAUUGUUCCAGCUUCAUGUUUUCUUAUUGCAGCUUCAUGUUAUCCGAUUCCAAGUUGUUCUUAGCCCUAAGCAGUCCAGGUAUGAUAUCUAUGCACCUUUGGCACCUUUCCUGAUCGAACCAUCCAAGAAGUGGACAAUUUGAACCCUACAUUUUACCAAAUCAAAACAUUAAAGUAAAAAACGACAUUACCUUUCCUGAUCGAACCAUCCAGCCAUGAGUUAAACAUUACAUGGACAGGACAAGAAUAAAAACGACGACCAGGAUUCUUCUUUGUCCAUGAAGUUUGCAUUAUCACUUCCCUUCCACAAUGGCAGUUGACCAUGGCGACGAACCCUAAUUUGAUGGGUGAUGAUGAACCCUGAUUUGCAAAGGUGAAAGGAUUGGGAUGUUAUCAGGUUGUUAAAUAAGGGGGAAAGACAAGUGGGAGAUGAAAUGACAUUUCUACCAUCAUGUGCACUGCACAUGACUUAAUUUUACUAAAAAUUAUAACUGGAUUUGCCAUAAAGGACAUAAUGUGCAACAGUUUCAAACAUUAAGUACAAAAGUCAUCAGUUUUAAAGGUAAAGGACAGCGCCUGAAAUUUGGGACAAACAUAAAGGACAAAACUUGUAAUUUACUCUAUUUAUUAUAAUAGGCCUGUCUUUUGCCUUGGGCCUAAUACUUUGUUUUACCAUAUUGGUAGGACUCGCAUAACGAGUCAACCCGAUCUGUUAAGACACGAACAUGAUAAGACACGAACCCGAAACACGUAAACACGAAUACAACACGAAAUCUUAUCGUGUCAGAUUCUCGAAACACGGACACGAACCUGUUAAUAAACAGGUUACACGAAACGCCAUGUUUAGACACGGAAAAAUUACCAACGCAUCAUACGACCUAUUUAAGACACGAGCACGACCUGUUAAAACACGAACACGACCUGUUUAAGACACGAAAACGACCCAAUUGGGGAAGUUGUGAACCGAAUUGGUAAUGGUGGUAUUUGUGAGAGAGAUUUAAAAAUUAGGGGUUGGAUUGUCGAAAAAGAAUCGCGUGUGUUUGUGUAUAAUUCAUCAAAGUCCCACGACUGAUGAACCCAUGUCCACACCCACAUAUAAUAUUUUUAAAUUUUUAAUUAUUAAUAUGUACUUAACGGAACUGAUGAACCCAUGUCCACACCCACAUAUAAUAGUUUUAAAUUUUUAAUUAUUAAUAUGUACUUAACGGGUCUUAACAGGUUAACGAGUUUUAACUUGUUUAGACACGAAACCUGUUAAGGUCUUAUCGUGUCGACCUGUUUUAGACACGAAACCUGUUAAGCUCAAACACGAAACAUGAUAACUUCGUGUAGGUUCGUGUCGUGUUAGCGUGUUCGUGCCAGAAUUUCCAGCCCUACAUAUUGGGCCUAGUAAAGAUAAGAGGAAAUAAGCCCAGGCGAGAGGCUCGAUGGCUCAACUCUAUUAUCAUUAUUAUUAUUAUUAUUAUUAUUAUUAUUAUUAUUAUUAUUAUUAUUAUUAUUAUUAUUAUUAUUAUUAUUAUUAUUAUGACAUUCAUUCAUCAUCAUCAUCAUUUCAUGACAUUCAUCCACCACCAUCAUCAUCAUCAUUGUUCAAAGCCUCUUUUCAUUUUAUCAUGAGAUCAUCUCAUAAAAAACCCAACAAACCAUACAAACAAACACCUCAAACAAGAUUCACAAACCAUCAUCAUCAUUAUCAAGAUUCACCAACCAUAACACCCACCGCCAUUCUCAUCAUCAUCUUCAAAUCUCCCCCAGUCGAUUAUAAUCAAAUCACAAUUAACCAAAAAACACACAAACAAACAAUCAACACACACUACAUCUCAUCGUUCAACAAAAACCUAAACGAUAAUUAACAUCCGCACGAGUUCAAUCAUAGAACACUAAAACAUUGAAUCAAAUGGAAUCAAAUCAGAUUAUGGGUUUUACAUUAGAUCUGGGUUCUGUUAGAUAUUUUAGUCUAAUCGGGAUUGACUUGGUGAUCAAAGCGAAUAAUAAUACACAUCAAGCAAUUUAGGAGGGGCGGGAGUGCACGCUUGUUUGAGUUAUUAUAAUUCGAAGUGUACGGGCGGAGCCCAAACUCUACGGGGGUUCCAAGGGGGCAAUGCCCCCUUGGCGGGGGUCUGGGGCAGCGCCCCUAGGAGCAGGGUCCAAGGGGCGGCAGCCCCUGGUGGGGUCCAAGGGGCAGAGCCCCUGGCUGGGGUUUAGUUGCAUCAGCAAAUUUUGUUUUCUGGAAAAUGCCAUAAUUUCGAAGCUUCAAAAUAAUGGAAUUUAAGAGGCAGUUUUGUCGUAAAUAUUGAGAUGACUGCCAUUAGGCAGUUAAUCAUCCCUAACCCAAAUUCGUAGACAGUUUGAUCACAAUUUCCUGGUCAGACGAAUUCUCCACACACAUACACUUUUUCAAUUUAUCGAAAAUCAGAGUUGUAUCCGCUUAAAUUAUUCAGGAGAACCACCGAAAUAAUUUGAUCUGAGAGUGAUUACACGCCUCUCUGAUCAUCCGGUUUCUGAAAAUUCACCAACAAAGAUCAAAUUAAUUUCUGUGAUGAUGGCAAGCGGAUCGAUGAAGGACGUGACAAGCAAGUUUGACAAACUGGAGAAGUUCGAUGGGCAGGACUUCCGAAGAUGGCAGCAGAAGAUGUCUCACAACGUUGAAGGUGGUGUACGUGUUGACUACUCCAAUCCCGGAGAUACUGGAGGAGGGCAAUCUGGAGCAGAUCAAAAAGAGGUCGAAGUGGGAGAACGACAAUUACAUAUGCCUUGGCCACAUUCUGAAUGGUAUGUUUGAUCUCUUAUUUGAUGUUUAUCAAAACGUAGAAACCGCAAAGUUACUGUGGGACAUUUUAGAAGCCAAAUACAUGGCAGAAGAUUCUUCUAGUAAGAAGUUUCAUGUUAGUAAUUUUUACAAUUACAAAUGGUUGAUUCAAGGCCCGUCAUGGAACAAUACAAUGAAUUGUUACUAAUCCCGGGGCAAUAUGUCCAAGAUGACAUGAAGAUGGAUGACUCCAUCUCAGUUUCAAGUAUCAUUGAUAAGUUACCUCAUUCCUGGAAAGAUUUUAAACAUAAUCUGAAACAUCAGAAAGGAGAGGUAACUUUGGUUGAACUUGGAAGCCACUUCAGAAUUAAAGAAGGCUUGAGAGCACAAGAAAAAUUGUUGGUCAAUGAUGAAAAGAAACAGGAUGGAACGUCUUCUUUGAACAUGGUUAUGACGGGUGAAUCAUCCAAAGGAAACAGUAAGUUCAAAGGGAAACGAAAGUUUCAAGGGAACAACAAUUCGGGUCAAAACAAAAAGCCGAAUUACCCUUGCUGAAAGUGUGGUAAGGUUGGUCAUGUUAGGAGGGACUAUAAAUUGAUGAUGAAUGGCAACAAGUUUGGUUCAAAGAACAAGAAUGAGGCUGCUUCUAGCGGGUCUAAGGAUCUGGGCAAGCAAGGAUGAUGAUAUUGCUUGGUGGGUUGAUUCGGGUGCAACAAGCCAUGUAUGCAAGGAUCUUUCGUUGGUUCAAAGACUUUCAACUAAUAAAAGACGAUCUAUCAUUAAGAUGGGAAAUGUUGCAACUGAACCAAUCAAAGGAAUAGGAACCGUGAAUCUUGUUUUCACUUCUGGAAAAUCUUUACUUUUGAACAAUGUUUUAUAUGUGCCCGGAAUUCGAAAGAAUAUGUUAACUGGCAUUGUGUUGAAUAAUUGUAGGUACAAACAAGUAUUGGAAAGUGACAAGUAUAUCUUGUCAAGACAUGUUACCUUUGUAGGUUUCGGUUAUAUAUGUAAUGGUAUGUUUAUGGGAAUGUUGAUGUCUCUUUAAUGAAUGAAUCUGUUU